rnacentral:rRNA from 1 species
GGUUGUAAAGCUCUUUCGGCGGGGACGAUAAUGACGGUACCCGUAGAAGAAGCUCCGGCUAACUUCGUGCCAGCAGCCGCGGUAAUACGAAGGGGGCUAGCGUUGUUCGGAAUUACUGGGCGUAAAGGGCGCGUAGGCGGAUCGCUAAGUCAGGUGUGAAAUCCCCUGGCUCAACUCGGAGGGUGCCCCCGAUACUGGAAUUCUUGAGUGCGGGAGAGGUGAGUGGAAUUCCUGGUGUAGAGGUGAAAUGCGUAUAUAUUGGGAAGAACACCAGUGGCGAAGGCGGCUCACUGGACCGUUACUGACGCUGAGGCACGAAAGCGUGGGGAGCAAACAGGAUUAGAUACCCUGGUAGUCCACGCCGUAAACGAUGCAUGCUAGCCGU